GCUGACAUACGUCAACUUUUAGAGGAAGCAUUUAAAGAAUUAAACAAGAGGAUUAUCGUAUGAAGCAUUCAUCGUGGGAACUCCAUCAUUAUCAUCUGUUAUGGUCCACAUCAUUUACUAGCUGCUCUUCUCUUGGAAGAACAAGACAAACUAACUGUCUUGAUCAAGGAAUUCAGUUUAAUUAGACUAACCAUUGGCCACUACACUGUCUAUGAUAAAAGGAUCAGAUACAAAGUAAUGAAUAAUGAAUGUCUUGCAGAGGAGAUUAAACUAGCUGAUGGAGAAGAACAAGAACUGAGGACUUUACUUGAUUACAAAGAAGGAUCAAUAUUUGAACAAGAUAAACAACUGAAUAUCAUCA